GGCGUGGUUAAGACAUGCAAGUCGAACGGAUCNNNNGGUGUAGCAAUACAUUGUCUGGUUAGUGGCGCAAGGGUGAGUAACACGUGGGCAACCUGCCCGGAAAUGGGGGAUANCCCGCCGAAAGGCGGAUUAAUACCGCAUGUGACGAGAAGCGGCAUCGCUUCGUAGUUAAAGUCGGUGAAAGCUGACGUUUCCGGAUGGGCCCGCGGCCUAUCAGCUAGUUGGUGAGGUAACGGCUCACCAAGGCAAUGACGGGUAGCUGGUCUGAGGGGACGACCAGCCACACUGGAACUGAGACACGGUCCAGACACCUACGGGUGGCAGCAGUCGAGAAUUUUUCUCAAUGGGGGAAACCCUGAAGGAGCGACGCCGCGUGGAGGAUGAAGGUCUUCGGAUUGUAAACUCCUGUCAUGAGGGAGUAAGACACAGCGUUAACUGCGUAUGUGUUUGAUAGUACCUCAAGAGGAAGAGACGGCUAACUCUGUGCCAGCAGCCGCGGUAAUACAGAGGUCUCAAGCGUUGUUCGGAUUCAUUGGGGCGUAAAGGGUGCGUAGGCGGUUGGGUAAGUCANAGGUGAAAUUCCGGGGCUCAACCUCGGAACUGNCCUUUGAUACUGCCUGACUAGAGUACUGGANANGAGACUGGAAUUCACGGUGUANCAGUGAAAUGCGUANAUAUCGUGAGGAAGANCAGUGGCGAANGCGANUCUCUGGACAGUUACUGACGCUGAGGCACGAAGGCUAGGGGANCNAACGGGAUUAGAUACCCCGGUAGUCCUAGCNNUAAACGGUGCACGUUUGGUAUGG
rnacentral:rRNA from 1 species